rnacentral:rRNA from 1 species
UACGUAGGGGGCAAGCGUUGUCCGGAAUUACUGGGCGUAAAGGGCGCGUAGGCGGCCUGCUAAGUCGGACGUGAAAUCCCUCGGCUCAACCGGGGAACUGCGUCCGAUACUGGUGGGCUCGAAUCCGGGAGAGGGAUGUGGAAUUCCAGGUGUAGCGGUGAAAUGCGUAGAUAUCUGGAGGAACACCGGUGGCGAAGGCGGCAUCCUGGACCGGUAUUGACGCUGAUGCGCGAAAGCCAGGGGAGCAAACGGG